AGGAAGACUAGGAGAACAAGGUGGACAAGGAAGACAGGGAUUUGUGCUCGGAAAGUCCGUCAAUGGAACGGUCUGCUGACUCCGAAGGAUCUCUACUGGAUGUGGAUGAAACUUUGGAAAGAAGUAAGGAGGUUCUAGGAUCACCAUUCUACGAAGAAAAACUGCGUCAGCUGUCAACUGGCCAAUUAACAGAGCUUCUCGGUGAAAUGGAAUCCUUGGUCGGAGCGCUCAGCGAAACUUUAAUAGCUGAAUAUUAUUAUUAUUAAUAUUAGCUUACUUUUGUAAGUAUUUAUGAAUAUAGCCUCCAUGAAUAUUCAUUGUUGGUAUGUAAGGUCUGGCAACGUACCAACUUUCUGUAAGAGAUGUUGAGGAUUUUCAACACAAUUAUGUUUUAGUUCUGUGCCCCACCUAGUGAUCCACUAGUACAUAUCCUCCGACGUGACAUCGCUGUGCUACGUAUAAAGAAGAAAAGAUUUAUUAAGAUGCAAAUUGCUCCUCUCUUCUUGCCAUUGUGCUUU
rnacentral:lncRNA from 1 species